GACCGCUCCGGUGGCCUAAUGGUUGAAGCGUCCGCCUCUGAUGCGGGAGGUCAAAGUCGUGGGGGGUCAAACCCCGGCCGAGUCA